AGCUGAGCGAGACGACCGCCAUCCACACAAGCAAAACACAUGUUUUCAACGCAGCUACAGCAGAGUCAGGCCAGAGUGGCAAUUGGGCUUGCAACACUUCCUUGGGACUCCCUGUCAUCAAGAAUUAAGAGGUGGGAGGGCUAAAAAUUUUGCAAAUUUGCAAGCCCCUAAAAUUUAUUUAGUGCCAAAAUGGACCCCCAGAGAACAAACUUGAACUUACUCUCAACAGAACAAUUUAACUAAUAGCUCCCUCCAUACAAUAUGUGCUGGCAUAGCCAGAACUCGGAUCACCUGCCUCCUCUGUGCAAAUUGAGCCAACUGAUAUAAGGAAAAGAUCUACUUGUUUAAAAAGAGAGAGUAUACCUGUGCUAGAGAUUUCUGGAAUGAUUAGCUGCUAGCCUAAGAGUAAGGGAUGAAUGUCAUCUCUUUGCAAAGCGCAGUGGAGAAAAAUUAGUCACCAUGAACCUGGAACGAGGCGAAGGGCAGAGCCACAGAAGGAACAAGACGAAGGCACAGGCCAGCAGAGACAAGGACACUGCGGCGGCUCCCAGAGGCAGCAUCCUAAGUCAGAGGGACAUUUGUUGCAACCCCAAGGAGACAUCCUUACCCGUAUAUCUUUAAGCAAGUGUGUGCUCCAGGAUCCAUCUAUGAACUCUUCCCUCUCGCAAUGCUAAUUGCAACGGCACUUGCAGUUUCACGUAGUUAGUACCAUGUUAUCAGCUGGUUUCCUGGAUCACUGGUAAGAAACUGCUCUAGCAAACAAACGCAAUUCCCUCUUGGAAAAAGCAGUGUGGGAGAUACUACUGUCCUCUUUUAUUAUUGCUUAUGCUGAGAUUUCAAGUACUGUUUUUGCACUGACACUUGAAUUAUAAUGUACAGUCAUUUGUCCUCCUAUCUCACUUUCCAUGCUUCUCAUCUUAUAGGUCAACUGUCACUGAGAAACUAUAUUUUUCCAGCAUCUUCCUAAGAAUCCUAGUGACGUGAUCACUUUGCCUUCCCGUAUUGUUCAGACAAGAGGAACAUAAAAACACAUUUUAUUCUCUAAUACCUUUUUAUAUUUAAUACCGUUUCAGUAAAUAGGCAUUUUGAACAUUUUAACUCAAGCAAGGAAAGUAUAUGGAUGAUUUAUCAUACCUGGUAUAUUCCCUGUAGUAUCUCUCCCAGGUUGGACAGCGGGUACAUUGAAGACCAACUGUACGGAUAAGUACUUCCAGUUCCUUCAGGGACUACUCAUUCACCCUUCUGUGCUGAUAUUUGUUCCAUUGCCCUUUUCCAAUGUUUUAAUCCCAUCUAAAUAGCAUCUUUUGUACUGUUUUUUUUUUAAUCAGAGAAUGAGAAAUGCUUUAUCUCCUCCUAAAUUAUAAAUUAUUAGAAGGGUCAAUUGCAGAAAAUGAAUCAUCAUGAUUUUUUAUGUUUCAAAAAGGCUAAGAAGGGCUUUCCCCAUAUAGAUAUUCAUGUUUAUAAAAAAGUAUCUUCAGAAAAUCUUCAUGAAGGGUAUUUUGAAAGAUUUGACUGAACCAAGGACAGUAGGACUAUAAACAAGGGUAUUUGAAUGCUAACAGAUUAUUUCUUUGUAGGAAACUAUCCAAUAUUCCCAGGCAUUCAUUUCUAUCAUCAAUCUACUAGUAGACAGUGUGGACAAAGAUAGACUCAAUGUGUAAAAAAGACAUAAAAACUGUAUGAUUAUGAAACCUGAAUUCAAUUUUAGUCAAAGUCCUUUAUUAAAGAGAUUAUGAUCAAGUGUGUCACUCA